CCAGACUCCUACGGGAGGCAGCAGUGGGGAAUAUUGCACAAUGGGGGAAACCCUGAUGCAGCAACGCCGCGUGAGUGAAGAAGUAUUUCGGUAUGUAAAGCUCUAUCAGCAGGGAAGAUAAUGACGGUACCUGAGUAAGAAGCCCCGGCUAACUACGUGCCAGCAGCCGCGGUAAUACGUAGGGGGCAAGCGUUAUCCGGAUUUACUGGGUGUAAAGGGAGCGUAGACGGCAUGGCAAGUCUGAAGUGAAAGCCCGGGGCUCAACCGCGGGAGUGCAUUGGAAACUGCCAGGCUGGAGUGUCGGAGGGGUAAGCGGAAUUCCUAGUGUAGCGGUGAAAUGCGUAGAUAUUAGGAGGAACACCAGUGGCGAAGGCGGCUUACUGGACGACUACUGACGCUGAGGCUCGAAAGCGUGGGGAGCAAACAGGAUUAGAUACCCGAGUA
rnacentral:rRNA from 1 species